GACGAACGCUGGCGGCGUGCUUAACACAUGCAAGUCGAACGAAGAGCGAUGGAAGCUUGCUUCUAUCAAUCUUAGUGGCGAACGGGUGAGUAACGCGUAAUCAACCUGCCCUUCAGAGGGGGACAACAGUUGGAAACGACUGCUAAUACCGCAUACGAUCUAAUCUCGGCAUCGAGGAUAGAUGAAAGGUGGCCUCUACAUGUAAGCUAUCACUGAAGGAGGGGAUUGCGUCUGAUUAGCUAGUUGGAGGGGUGACGGCCCACCAAGGCGAUGAUCAGUAGCCGGUCUGAGAGGAGGGACGGCCACAUUGGGACUGAGACACGGCCCAGACUCCUACGGGAGGCAGCAGUGGGGAAUCUUCCGCAAUGGACGAAAGUCUGACGGAGCAACGCCGCGUGAGUGAUGACGGCCUUCGGGUUGUAAAGCUCUGUUAAUCGGGACGAAAGGCCUUCUUGCGAAUAGUGAGAAGGAUUGACGGUACCGGAAUAGAAAGCCACGGCUAACUACGUG
rnacentral:rRNA from 1 species